UGGGGAAUAUUGCACAAUGGGCGAAAGCCUGAUGCAGCGACGCCGCGUGAGUGAGGAAGUAUUUCGGUAUGUAAAGCUCUAUCAGCAGGGAAGAAAGAAAUGACGGUACCUGAGUAAGAAGCUCCGGCUAAAUACGUGCCAGCAGCCGCGGUAAUACGUAUGGAGCAAGCGUUAUCCGGAUUUACUGGGUGUAAAGGGAGCGUAGGCGGCAGAGCAAGUCUGAUGUGAAAGCCCGGGGCUCAACCCCGAUAGUGCAUUGGAAACUGUUCAGCUCGAGUGUCGGAGGGGUAAGCGGAAUUCCUGGUGUAGCGGUGAAAUGCGUAGAUAUCAGGAAGAACACCGGAGGCGAAGGCGGCUUACUGGACGAUUACUGACGCUGAGGCUCGAAAGCGUGGGGAGCGAACA
rnacentral:rRNA from 1 species